rnacentral:lncRNA from 1 species
CACAAAUAUUUAUUGAGUAUCUACUCAAUAUUACUAUGCACUGUUCUCGGCACUGGGGAUACAGCAAAGAACAAAAACAAGAGUCCUGCUUUGUGGAGCUUACAGUCUAUUGGGGACAGACAAACACUAAUCACAAUAAAUAAAUAAAUAUAUCAGGUGGUGAUCAGUGCUCUGCAGAAAAACAUAAGCCAUAAAUAGGAUAAGGGGAUGAUGAAAGUGCUGGUGAAUGGGGUUAUUUUAGAUAUGGUGGUUAGGGAAUGCUUCUCGAGGGAGGUGACAUUUGAGCAUACUAGAAGUGGGUGGGCAAGUCAUCAGAUUAUCUACAAUUUAGAGUGUUCCAGACAGUGAUAACAGCAAGUACAAAGGCUCUGAAGAGGGGGGAUAUCUGGCAUGUUUAAGGGACAGCAAGGAGGCCAAUGUGGCUGGAGAAGAGUGAGUGAUGGGAAGAGUGAUAUGAGGCCAGGUCAGAGAGGUUAUGGGGACCAGCUUGUGUAGAAACUUUGGGGCCAUGGUGAGAGCUUUGGCUUUUAUUCUGAGGGAGAUGGGAGUUAUGGGAGAAUUUUGAGCAGAGGAGGGACACAGCCUGAUAGGGAUUUUUAAAAGAAUUUCAGAGAAGACCUAGUAAUGGUAUUAGAACACUAGGCAAAAGAAAAAAAAAACAAACCAAAAAAACGAGGGAAUUACUAGGAAAACAAAAAGGUAUGUAACAAAGGAUAUGUCAUUAGACUGUACUAUGUAGUCUGGAUGUGAACAAUAUUUACAAUGCCAUACUCAGGCAAACAGUGACACUGGUUGAACAAAAAUUGUAUAAAAUGUUUAAAGAAAUAACAGAGGCAACCACAAAGAUGAGCAAGCAACAAGAAACUAUUAAGAGAUGACCAGGCAGAUUGGUAAGUGAAAUAUAUGAAGGCUGUACAAAUGAAAAAUACCAUUGUUGAAAUAAAAAAUUCUGUGGACAGAUUAAACAGCAGAUCAGACACAGCUGAAGAGAGAAUCAAUAAGCUGAAAGAUAUAUCUGAAGAAAUUGUCCACAAUGAAGUGCAAGAAGACAAGAUAGAAAAUAUCAAUGAGAUGUUACGAGAUAUGGAAGAUAGAAUGAAGAGAUGCAAAAUAUGACUAACUGAAUUCUGAGAAAGAAAACAUAGAAAUAAUGGAGGAAAGGCAAUAUUUGAAGAGAUAAUGACUGAGAACUUUCUAGAAAUUAUGAAAAACAUGAAUCCAGAGGCAUGAAGCACAUUUCCAAAGUACAAUAAAUAAAAAAGAAAUACAUACCGAAACACUAAUAGAAUGAAAGUGCAGAACCCCCUGAACAUUCUCCUCCAUGAGAGAGAGAGACCUUGAGAAUACCCAGAAAACAAAAACACCUACAAAAAUAGUAAUUAGACUGACAAUGGACUUCUAAUAUUACCUAUAACAAUCUAUCUUUUAAGAAUGAGUAUAGAAUAAAGACAUUUACAUAUAAUAAAGACUGGGAGAAUUUAACACCAACAAAUCUGUACUAAAAGGGCAUCUCAACACUGUAUUCAUAAUGCAGGAAAAUGAUCCCAGAAUGAUGGUCUGAGAUGCAAGAAUAUAUGCAUGAAAAUCCAAACACACACCAUCUACAUAAAAUAAUACUAAGGAUGAUAUAGAAUUUGUGAGGUUAGGGGGGGAAAGGGAGGAAAUAAAUAUACUCAAAAAAAUAACACGUGGUCCAAGAGAGGAAUGACUAGAGUUGAAUGUUUCUAAGCUUCUCGCAUUCAAGAAGGAUGUUAAAGUACUGUUUAACUUUAUUGAUUGAUUGAUUUAUGUUUGUUUUUUAGGGCCAUACCCAUGGCACAUGGAGGUUCCCAGGCUAGGGGUCGAAUUGGAGCUACGGCUGCAGGCCUACACCACAGCCAUAGCCACAUUAGAUCCAAGCCAUGUCUGCGACCUACACCACAGUUCAUGGCAAUGCCGGAUCCUUAACCCACUGAGCAAGGUCAGGAAUCGAACCCGCAACCUCAUGGUUCCUAGUCGGAUUCGUUUCCACUGCACCAUGAUGGGAACUCCAGCACUGUUUUAACUUAAAAACUUAUAAGUUAUAUGUGCACAGUGGUGGUAGGAAAUAGAAAUAAAAAACUAUGACGGUAGAGAAAAAUCCAAAUAUUUCACAAUAUAUGUAAACAGACUAAACUUGCCCAUUAAAAGAUAGAGAGCAUUAGAUUCGAUUUUUAAAAGGUCCAGCUGUAUGCCAUUCCCAAGAGACAUAAUUAAAGUAUUAAGGCAUGAAAAUGUUUCAAAGUAACACAAAUCCUAACAGGAGAAAAGUCUGUGUUUCUAUAUUACUGUAAGAUACAAUAGACUUCAAGGAAAAAUGCAUUAUCAGGAAUAGAGAACGUCAUACAUGUUUAGCAGGAAUAUAUAACAAUUCUUGAUUUGAAUAUUCCUAAUAAAAUACCCUCAAAACAUGUAAAGAAAAAGAGAAUUACAAGAAGAAACAGAUAAAUCCACCAUCAGAACUGAAUAUUAACACACCUUACAAUUCAUGGUAUAGUACGACCCCCCGAAAAUCAGUAGAUAUAGAAAAUGUGAACAAUACAAUUAACAAACUUGAUAAUAGACAUAUGUAGAACUCUGUAUUCAACAAUUAGAGAACAUACAUUCUUAUAAAUCACAUAGGAAACAUUCAAAAAUACUGAUCACGUACUAAGCCAUAAAACAAGUCUCAAUAAAUUUCAGAGCUUUUAUCACACAGAUCACAUCCUCUGAUCAUAAUGCAAUUAAGACAAAUUUCAAUAACAAAGAGGUAAAAUUUUAAAUCUCCAAAUAUUUAGAAACACACUUCUCGCAGGUCAAAGAAGUAACCACGAUGGAAAUGCUGAGUACUUGGAACCGAACAAUAAUAAAAUACGACAUGUCUGAACUUGAAGAAAAGCAGUAGUUAGAGGGAAAGUUAUGUCCUUAAAUGCACAAAAAUUAAUGAGCUCUGUGCCCAAUUUAAGAAAUUAGAAAAAGAACAACAGAAUAAAUCCAAAAAAUGUGGAAGGAAGGAGAUCAAAAAAGAUAAGAGCAGAAAUUAAAGAAAUAGAAAACAAAGACACAAUAGAGAGGAGCAACAAAGCCAAAAGCUGGUUCUUUGAAAAGACUAAUAAAAUAGACAAACCUCUGGAGAGAUUGAUCAAGAAAAAAAGUGAGAAAGCACAAAUAACCAAUAUCAGCAAUGAAAAAGGAGACAUAACUACAGAUAGAACAGAGAACAAAAAAACAAGGAAACUUUAUGCCGACAAGUUUGAGAACACAGACAAAAUGGACCAAUUCCUAGAAAACUAUAACUUACCAAAAUUAACGCAAGAAGAAAAAGAAAUCCUGAAUAAUCCUCCAACUAUUAAAGGAACUGAAGAAGUAGUUAAAACUCUUCCUACCAAAAAACAAAUAAAAGAACAGAAAAUAGCAGGAGGCAGAAUUUUCCAAUGGAUAUGUGGGUUACAGGUAGGCAAAAAGAUAUUAAUCCCCUUAGCCCUGGAAGUGUCCACGUAUGACCUAAGGCAGUGGAGACCCUAGGCAAGCCACCUCUCUCUAUGGGUAGCCUCCUGUGGAGAUUCUUAGGGAGUGGCCUUAGGGUGAAAUGGGGUCUGACAAAUCCCUCUGAAGUCCCUGCAGGUAGUAAGCGCAAAUGAGUAACAGCCAGCACUCGGUUACUGCUCUGUGGUAAGUGUGCUAAGCAGGGCCAAGGAGGAGCUCUAAGACUUGGACAGCUUCUUCAGUAGCCAGCUUCUGUAGUCUUCUGCUCAGUGAGGACAAGGGGCCUGUGGAGCUGCUGGAGGAGUCUGUUUUCCAGUUGCCAAGAAACACCACACACGACCCAAGCUGUGACUGGUUGGGGUGGGGUUGGGUGCAGAGAGGCCAAGCAGGGGCUUCUGGAGAGUGUAGCUCCAGGCAGAAGCCCUGAAACUCUGUCUUCACGAAUAUCAGAUACUUCUAUCCGUUUGCAGUUGAUGAGCCCUUUUAAUGGUGUCCAAGCUAGCUGCAGGGUGAUGAUUCUAACAAUGAUGUAUGUUCUGCAAAUAAGAGCUUCAUCAUUAUUUUGAAAUAGUUAAUAUGAAAGAGUUCAAUUGGAUUCGAAGUCUAAUCACAUUCUCAGAAGAAAUUCUAACAAUAUAUUUGUCAGUGAAACAAAAAGGUAUCAUUUCACUUGUUAAAACAUUUUUGAACAAUUCAAAAAUUGGUUUCAAAUACUUUAUCACCUAAUUGUACAAAGAAAGAUUUUUAUUGAUGGUGACUGUUAAGAAUUUAAAGAACACAUCAUUAAAGUCUUGAUUGGGAUUUGUGUGUAAUCACUUUGAGCAUAAAACCUGAUAUAAAAUAAACAUGUUAUGGGAGCAGGUUUCAAGUUUCUCAUUGAAAUUUCUGAAAAUAUUUUAUUUCGAAGUUUAAUAUUAACUUAAUAUUAAAAUGGAAACACCAAACCAAGAUGGUUUUACCAAACAGAUCAUUCCAAAGUCAUACAGCGUAUUCCAGAAUAUUGUAAAUGAGGGAACACUGACUCAUUCUAUAAUACCAGCAGAACUUGAUGCCAAAAGAAAAUACAGACAGCAUGAGAAAGGAAAAUUAAAGACCAGUUUUACUCAUGGACACAGAUACAGAUAUCCUAAACAAUAUAUUAACAAACUGAAUCUAGUACUGUAUAAAAAGGAAAAGAUCAUGACCAAAUUGUAUUUAUACCAGAAAUACAAAGGUGGUCUAACAUGAGGAAAAUCUAUAAAUGUCAUUUACUACAUUAUCAGAUUAUUGGAGGAAAAAACCAUAAUCGUCCCAACCAAAGGUAUUUGAUAAAAAUUCAACACCCUUUCAUGAGUUAAAAACAAUAAUUAAAACUUCUUAGCAAAAAGGAAUAGGAAGGAACUUGCUUCAUUUGAUAAAACCUGUAAAAACCAACAGCAAAUAUCAUUCUUACUAGGGAAAAGUUAGUUACUAGGGAAAAUCUAAAAUAUUCAACAAGAUAAGGAUGCCCAUGGCCAUCUUUUCUAUUCAACACUGUACUGGAGGUCCUGGCCAUCUCAGUGAGACAAGAAAAAGAAAUGAAAAGCAUCAAGUUGGGGAGGAAGAACACAAAACUGUCAUUAUUAAUAGCUGAUAUGGCUGUCAACGUAGAAAACACAAAGGAAUAUACAGACAACUUAAAAGGAACCAGGGUUCCUUGAGAAAUGGUUGGUUCUGGUUGGGGUUAGGGCAGGAAGAGAAAAGAUGAGUGGGAAGCAUCGUGCAGUGCUGGCAAGUAAGGAGGUAAUCAAACACAGAAGGAUGGG